rnacentral:rRNA from 1 species
UACGGAGGGAGCUAGCGUUAUUCGGAAUUACUGGGCGUAAAGCGCACGUAGUCGGCUUUGUAGGUUAGAGGUGAAAGCCUGGAGCUCAACUCCAGAACUGCCUUUAAGACUGCAUCGCUUGAAUCCAGGAGAGGUGAGUGGAAUUCCGAGUGUAGAGGUGAAAUUCGUAGAUAUUCGGAAGAACACCAGUGGCGAAGGCGGCUCACUGGACUGGUAUUGACGCUGAGGUGCGAAAGCGUGGGGAGCAAACAGG